rnacentral:rRNA from 1 species
GUGCAGCCGCCGCGGUAAUACGGAGGGUGCAAGCGUUGUUCGGAAUUACUGGGCGCAAAGCGCGCGUAGGCGGCUUUUUAAGUCAGAUGUGAGAGUCCACGGCUCUACCGUGGAAGUGCAUUUGAAACUGGAAAGCUUGAGUAUCAGAGGGGAUGGUGGAAUUCCCGGUGUAGAGGUGAAAUUCGUAGAUAUCGGGAGGAAUACCGGUGGCGAAGGCGACCAUCUGGCUGAAUACUGACGCUGAGGUGCGAAAGCGUGGGGAGCAAACAGGAUUAGAUA